rnacentral:lncRNA from 1 species
GGCGCCUGCGCUAGAUCCUGUUCUCGGCGCCAUUUUGUCUCGGCAGCGGUGGCGGUAGCUCUUUCCCAUUUUAAGCUUCGCGAGGAGAGGAGUGGAGUCUUUACCCGGUUGAUUCGUUCUUGUGGACUAGGCGUUCACCUUCCGUCCCGGUUUUAUUGUAAAAAGUGUAGAUUGGGUGAACUUCAGAACCUUUGAAGAUUGUUGCAGAGAUGUAUCCUGAACAUUUGUGGGGGAAAGUUAUCAAAGGCUAUUAGCCCUUAAAUCUGGAUCUAUCUUCAUACUGUUUCUUGGAAUGUUUCUGAUUUCUUUCCCUAAAAUGCCAGAACAUCUGAGCUUUUACUUUUAUAUGAAGAACAUGAAAACAAGAAAUUAUGCUGGACCAUCAAAGUCAACAGAACCAGAUUUUGAAUAUGUUCAGUCAUUGAAGAAAACCAUCAUCUUUUUUAAAGAAAGAAAUAAUCUUAUUCUUCCAAAUAGUUGAAAUGUAAAGAACACAUUUAUGUUUUCAGAAAAGUACAAAGGCUUGAAAUGCAAGAAAGUAAAUUCAAAUGUAAGGCCUGUUUAAAAUUCAGCAUUUAGGAAUGACAACAGAAAAGUCAUGUCAAGUAUUUAAAGAAUGAAUUGUAUAUUUAGUGAUUUCAAAAGUCAUACAACUACCAACCUCUGUGGGAGAGAAGUUAGCCCCCUUACUAAAAAAGAGUUUUCAGUACUAUUUACAAUGUAUUAAAAGGUUAUAGAACUUUAAUAUUGAGAGAGCAAUAGAAUUUCAAGAAAAAGUAUUAGAUAUGCAGGGUAUUGUUUACCUACAUAAUAUAAUACCUCAAGAGUAAACACAGAUGCCACAGUGGAUAGUGCAAUCAGGAAUAUGCAAUCAAAUCCUACCUCCUAUACUUAAACUAGCUGUGUGACCCCAGGCAAGUCAUUUAGUUUUGUCUCAUGUAAAAUAGGAUAACAAUGACAUCUAAAGAAUUUAUUUGCAGCCCAAUUCAGUCACCUACUAAAUGGGUAAUAUUUAUUGCUGUAAAGAAUUUGUAUUUUCAAUACAUAUUUUAUUUUCUUGUCUACUAAAUGAUUGUGGCUUAAUAAUACAUAUUUGAAAAUAAACUUCAUUGCAAUUUUGUCCUGUAAUGCUGAAAAAUAAAUUCGUUCAAAAUUUUCCUAUAAAAUAAAGUUCAUUUAAAAAUAUUUCUGGAUAACAUUCAUUCUGUUUAUCACCAAUCUAAUAAAAGUAAAAUUUAUAGCUUAAAAAAUUUUAAAUUAUAGAAAUUGGAGCAGUGUUAUGGGACCAAGAUGAGUAGCAUGUAGUUUACUAACUGCUACAUGAUGAACACAUACUACCUUUAUUCACAUUUUUCUUUUA